UAACAUUUCAUCAGCAAGGGGAGGGGGGUGGCUUUUCCCAGAAAAGGAGAUAGAUUUUUUUUUAAAAUCUAUUUCCUUCACUCCUUUAUUCACAUCUCGCUCUCUAACCCAUUGCCAUCUGGAUUCUGUCUUAAUCAGACCAAUAUGGCCAAGCUGUGGCUCCCGAGGAAAUACUAGAGUUGCUGUGAUUUUUCUCUUGAGCAGCUGAAGUCUAGCUAGUGCUGCCAGGGGAGCGUGUAGAGACCCUUCCCCAUCCCAGUGGCCUGCACAGCCAAGGCACCUGGACUGCCAGGACGCACCUCUCCUCUCUCCUCCUGCCAUAAAAUUCCUGGCAGAGAGCAAGAUGAAGCUCACUUCCCUCAAGUGUCAGAGGGGUAAGAUGUUAACUUCUCUUAUUCAAGGGGGAAAUGGACUUGAUUGACAGAUGAGAGAGAGCUGCUACUCAUUUACCCACCGAAAGAUAUUAUAUGGCUUUAAGCAGUGUUCAGGAGCACGAGAAGGUAAUAAACUAUGUGUGUAAGCUCAGUUCUCAGGGGAGGGAGAGCUGCUGCAAAACCCACACUCAAAUUGUUUCUUUCGUGCUCCUUUUUUAGGCCCUCUGUGCAUGCCAUGCUUAAUAAAGGCAAUACAAAGCAUUGUUUUUCUUAAUUCACCGAAGAUGAUGCUGGGUUCAUUCUGUGAUUUUGCUCAAGGUCACAAAUUUAGGAUGGUUGUUUAACUCCAAGGUCUUCCCUCACUAGGUAUGGUUUUCUUUAUUAUUUUCCUGAACAAAUUCCUCCAUUGGGAAGCAAUAAUAUUCAAGUCUAACUGAUCAACAUUUGCCUUACUUGCUACCCCAGAAUCAAAUCAAAGUGCUAUGCUUAGGGGCAAACUAAUAAAAGCAGCCCUCCUCUUUGUUUGUUUUAAAAU
rnacentral:lncRNA from 12 species